rnacentral:rRNA from 1 species
CCUACGGGUGGCAGCAGUAGGGAAUAUUCCACAAUGGGCGAAAGCCUGAUGGAGCAACGCCGCGUGGGUGAAGAAGGUCUUCGGAUCGUAAAACCCUGUUGUUAGAGAAGAAAGUGCGGGAGAGUAACUGAUAACGUUUCGACGGUAUCUACCCAGAAAGCCACGGCUAACUACGUGCCAGCAGCCGCGGCAAUACGUAGGUGGCAAGCGUUAUCCGGAUUUAUUGGGCGGAAAGGGAGCGCAGGCGGGCUUUUAAGCCAGAUGUGAAAGCCUUCGGCUUAACCGUAGUAGUGCAUUGGAAACUGGUAGACUUGAGUGCAGGAGAGGAGGGUGGAACUCCAUGUGUAGCGGUGAAAUGCGUAGAUAUAUGGAAGAACACCAGUGGCGAAGGCGGCUCUCUGGUCUGUAACUGACGCUGAGGUGCGAAAGCGUGGGUAGCAAACAGGAUUAGAUACCCCUGUAGUC